CCUACGGGAGGCAGCAGUGGGGAAUUUUGGACAAUGGGCGCAAGCCUGAUCCAGCCAUGCCGCGUGUGGGAAGAAGGCCUUCGGGUUGUAAACCACUUUUGUCAGGGAAGAAACGGUCUGAACUAAUACUUUGGACUAAUGACGGUACCUGAAGAAUAAGCACCGGCUAACUACGUGCCAGCAGCCGCGGUAAUACGUAGGGUGCAAGCGUUAAUCGGAAUUACUGGGCGUAAAGCGUGCGCAGGCGGCUUUGCAAGACAGAUGUGAAAUCCCCGGGCUCAACCUGGGAACUGCAUUUGUGACUGCAUGGCUAGAGUACGGUAGAGGGGGAUGGAAUUCCGCGUGUAGCAGUGAAAUGCGUAGAUAUGCGGAGGAACACCGAUGGCGAAGGCAAUCCCCUGGACCUGUACUGACGCUCAUGCACGAAAGCGUGGGGAGCAAACAGGAUUAGAUACCCUGGUAGUCCACGCCCUAAACGAUGUCAACUGGUUGUUGGGAGGGUUUCUUCUCAGUAACGAAGCUAACGCGUGAAGUUGACCGCCUGGGGAGUACGGCCGCAGGUUGAAACUCAAAGGAUUGACGG
rnacentral:rRNA from 1 species